rnacentral:rRNA from 1 species
GACGAACGCUGGCGGCGUGCUUAACACAUGCAAGUCGAACGGUAAGGCCUUCGGGUACACGAGUGGCGAACGGGUGAGUAACACGUGGGUGAUUUGCCCCCUACUCUGGGAUAAGCCUGGGAAACUGGGUCUAAUACCGGCUAUGACCUCCUUCUGCAUGUGUGGUGGUGGAAAGUUUUUUCGGUAGGGGAUGAGCCCGCGGCCUAUCAGCUUGUUGGUGGGGUAAUGGCAUACCAAGGCGACGACGGGUAGCCGGCCUGAGAGGGCGACCGGCCACACUGGGACUGAGACACGGCCCAGACUCCUACGGGAGGCAGCAGUGGGGAAUAUUGCACAAUGGGCGAAAGCCUGAUGCAGCGACGCCGCGUGGGGGAUGACGGCCUUCGGGUUGUAAACCCCUUUCAGUCGGGACGAAGCGAGAGUGACGGUACCGAUAGAAGAAGCACCGGCCAACUACGUGCCAGCAGCCGCGGUAAAAC